GCUGCAUUUGCGGCUGCUGCUGCUGCAUUUGCGGCUGCUGCUGCUGCAUUUGCGGCUGCUGCUGCUGCAUUUGCGGCUGCUGC